UGCCAGCCGCCGCGGUAAUACGGAGGGUGCAAGCGUUAAUCGGAAUUACUGGGCGUAAAGCGUGCGUAGGCGGUUUUGUCAGUCAGAUGUGAAAGCCCAGGGCUUAACCUUGGAACUGCAUUUGAUACCGCAAGACUAGAGAUCGGUAGAGGACAGUGGAAUUUCCGGUGUAGCGGUGAAAUGCAUAGAGAUCGGAAGGAACACCAAUGGCGAAGGCAGCUGUCUGGGCCUGAUCUGACGCUGAGGUACGAAAGCGUGGGUAGCGAAAAGGAUUAGAUA
rnacentral:rRNA from 1 species